rnacentral:rRNA from 1 species
CGGGGGCACGGGGGGCCUACGGGAGGCAGCAGUGGGGAAUAUUGGACAAUGGGCGGAAGCCUGAUCCAGCAACGCCGCGUGAGGGAUGACGGCCUUCGGGUUGUAAACCUCUUUCAGCACAGACGAAGCGAGAGUGACGGUACGGCAGAUASARGYKACGGA